rnacentral:rRNA from 1 species
GAUGAACGCUGGCGGUAUGCCUAACACAUGCAAGUCGAACGGUCACUUCGGUGAUAGUGGCGGACGGGUGAGUAACGCGUGAGAAUCUGUCUUCAGGUCGGGGACAACAGUUAGAAAUGACUGCUAAUACCGGAUGUGCCUUUGGGUGAAAGAUUUAUUGCCUGAAAAAGAGCUCGCGUCAGAUUAGCUAGUAGGUGGUGUAAGAGACUACCUAGGCUCCGAUCUGUAGCUGGUCUGAGAGGACGAUCAGCCACACUGGAACUGAGACACGGUCCAGACUCCUACGGGAGGCAGCAGUGGGGAAUUUUCCGCAAUGGGCGAAAGCCUGACGGAGCAAUACCGCGUGAGGGACGAAGGCUUUUGGGUCGUAAACCUCUUUUCUCAAGGAAGAUGAUGACGGUACUUGAGGAAUAAGCAUCGGCUAACUCUGUG